rnacentral:rRNA from 1 species
GCCAGCAGUCACAUCCCCCUGCAACUCACAACUGGCAGCCCACUGAAGCUAAGCAUGUGAGCCUGGUCAGUACCUGGAUGGGAGACCUCCUGGGAAAAACUAAGGUUGCUGCUGGAA